GAGGGUAUAGCUCAGUGGUAGAGUGCAUGCUUAGCAUGCACAAGGUCCUGGGUUCAAUCCCCAGUGCCUCCA
rfam:Camelus ferus unplaced genomic scaffold scaffold277, whole genome shotgun sequence.